AGCAGCCGCGGUAAUUCCAGCUCCAAUAGCGUAUAUUAAAGUUGUUGCAGUUAAAAGCUCGUAGUUGAAUUUUGGAUUCUACCAAUUGGUCCAUCUUUGGAUGAGUACUGGUUGUGUGGGGUCUUACCGCCUGGUAAUACGUAAUGUCCUUUAUUGGAUGUUGCGGGUAGCCAGGACUUUUACCUUGAAAAAUUAGAGUGUUUAAAGCAGGCUUAUGCCGGAAUACAUUAGCAUGGAAUAAUAGAAUAGGACGAAGUUGUUUUAUUUGUUGGUUUCUAGGACAACCGUAAUGAUUAAUAGGGAUAGUUGGGGCAUUAGUAUUCAAUUGUCAGAGGUGAAAUUCUUGGAUUUAUUGAAGACUAACUACUGCGAAAGCAUUUGCCAA
rnacentral:misc_RNA from 1 species